rnacentral:rRNA from 1 species
AGUUUGAUCCUGGCUCAGAUUGAACGCUGGCGGCAGGCCUAACACAUGCAAGUCGAGCGGUAGAGAGAAGCUUGCUUCUCUUGAGAGCGGCGGACGGGUGAGUAAUACCUAGGAAUCUGCCUGAUAGUGGGGGAUAACGUUCGGAAACGGACGCUAAUACCGCAUACGUCCUACGGGAGAAAGCAGGGGACCUUCGGGCCUUGCGCUAUCAGAUGAGCCUAGGUCGGAUUAGCUAGUUGGUGAGGUAAUGGCUCACCAAGGCUACGAUCCGUAACUGGUCUGAGAGGAUGAUCAGUCACACUGGAACUGAGACACGGUCCAGACUCCUACGGGAGGCAGCAGUGGGGAAUAUUGGACAAUGGGCGAAAGCCUGAUCCAGCCAUGCCGCGUGUGUGAAGAAGGUCUUCGGAUUGUAAAGCACUUUAAGUUGGGAGGAAGGGCAUUAACCUAAUACGUUGGUGUCUUGACGUUACCGACAGAAUAAGCACCGGCUAACUCUGUG